GCUGCAAGUUAACGCAUUAAGCACUCCGCCUGGGGAGUACGGCCGCAAGGCUGAAACUCAAAGGAAUUGACGGGGGCCCGCACAAGCGGGGGAGCAUGUGGUUUAAUUCGAAGCAACGCGAAAAACCUUACCAGGUCUUGACAUCCUCUGACAACCCUAAAGAUAGGGCUUCUCCUUCGGGAGCAGAGUGACAGGUGCGUGCAUGGUUGUCGUCAGCUCGUGUCGUGAGAUGUUGGGUUAAGUCCCGCAACGAGCGCAACCCUUGAUCUUAUUUGCCAUCAUUUAGUUGCGGCACUCUAAGGUGACUGCCGGUGACAAACCGGAGGAAGGUGGGGAUGACGUCAAAUCAUCAUGCCCCUUAUGACCUGGGCUACACACGUGCUACAAUGGACGGUACAAAGAGCUGCAAGACCGCGAGGUGGAGCUAAUCUCAUAAAACCGUUCUCAGUUCGGAUUGUAGGCUGCAACUCGCCUACAUGAAGCUGGAAUCGCUAGUAAUCGCGGAUCAGCAUGCCGCGGUGAAUACGUUCCCGGGCCUUGUACACACCGCCCGUCACACCACGAGAGUUUGUAACACCCGAAGUCGGUGGGGUAACCUUUUUGGAGCCAGCCGCCUAAGGUGGGACAGAUGAUUGGGGUGAAGUCGUACAAGGGUAACCGA
rnacentral:rRNA from 1 species